rnacentral:lncRNA from 1 species
UAUAAAUUUUAAUUCUAAGUAACUAUCCUGAAAGACAUUACUAUUCAUCUGACAAAUGAACACAAUAAUGAUAAGCUGUAUUUCAUUUAAAACCUUUUUUUAUAUGAACUUUAGAGUUUAAAAUCAAAUGGUUUGUUAUUCUAAAAUGACCCCCUUAUUUUGCUUUAAAAUGUGAACAAAGCCGUGUUUUAAUUAGCACAAAAUAUGUCUGACACAUGAGCAUAAAUUUACUAUUUAAAUUCUCGUUAUUUUAGUUUUCAUCCUAAGGCUUAUGAAAUAUAUAAAUUUUUGUUGCUCCUUUACAAUUUUAUUAUUCAAUGUUAUUAAAGCAUCAUAUAUUUACCUUGCUAGUAGUUUUUAGACUGAUUAAAUUUGAAAAUGUGAUCUUCACACUUCAUCAUUGUUCAUGGGAGGAAAAGGGAACAACCAAAUAUUUUUCUAAGAUAUUUUUAUAUGCUUCAACCUAUUAAAAUACGGUGUUUGUCCUAUUAGAAUUGAAACAAUUCCUUUAUGUCAUGCUCUGUACUCAUUUUAAUGUGGUUGGACAUUAUAUUUGUCGAUAUAUUACACUGAGUAUUUUGUUAUUUUAAAAAUAUAGUUUAUCUUAUGUAAUUGUUGAAGACCAUGUUUUAACUUUUGCAAUUUGUUUUAUUUAUGUGUCCUCCAGUUGCUGUAUCAUUGACAUGACCCUUAUAUCUACAAUUUUGUAUUGCACAUACAUGAAAUCUGUACACAUUUGUCAAUAUUCAAAUGUUGUGCCGAAAAAAAGUUGUUUUUUUUAAAAGUAUUUACUGUUAAAAUGUGUAUCAUUUGCUUAUGUUCCUUAAUUGUAUGUUUGAAUAUCUGUAGCACACAGUUUUGGUAGUAAAAAUGCAUAUAAAAUUAAGUAUUAAACAUUUCUAACACAAAUUUAAAUAUUUAAAUGUUUGAAUGAUUUCUGCAUAUGGUAAUUAUGAAAAAAAAAGUUUGAAGUAUUGAUGCAUAAGAAUGUAGAUUACAGACAACAAAUAUAUCAAUAUAAGAACUUUUGCAUAUGUUGUAGUCAUUUAUAGUUGCCCUUUUUACAGAUGAUAUAAAGAAUGAAAGUUUGCCCAAUGAGCUUUUUAUAAUAAGUUAUGCCUACCCAAAAUGAAUUGUAUAACAUCAAAUGAUGGUGAGGAAUGAAAGCCGGUCUUGAUGUCUUCUUUAUUUAUUUUGUAAAAA